rnacentral:rRNA from 1 species
AGUGAACGCUGGCGGUAGGCCUAACACAUGCAAGUCGAACGGCAGCACAGUAAGAGCUUGCUCUUACGGGUGGCGAGUGGCGGACGGGUGAGGAAUACAUCGGAAUCUACUUUUUCGUGGGGGAUAACGUAGGGAAACUUACGCUAAUACCGCAUACGACCUACGGGUGAAAGCAGGGGAUCUUCGGACCUUGCGCGAUUGAAUGAGCCGAUGUCGGAUUAGCUAGUUGGCGGGGUAAAGGCCCACCAAGGCGACGAUCCGUAGCUGGUCUGAGAGGAUGAUCGGCAAAACGGGACCGGGAAAAGGGUCCAGACCCCAAGGGGGGGCAGAAGUGGGGAAUUUUGGAAAAGGGGGGCAAGCCUGACCCAGCCAUCCCGGGGGGGUGAAGAAGGCCUUGGGGUUGUAAAGCCCUUUUUUGGGGAAAGAAAAGCAGCAGGUUAACACCCCGCUGUUCUGACGGUACCAAAAGAAUAAGCACCGGCUAACUUCGG